CUUGGUGGUGUUGUCAGAGUGGAUUGUAAUCAUGUCUAAAUCCCCACCUCAGCCUAUUUAACUUCUGGUGGCUCCAUGAACACUGCCUGCACAGUGGCUUUCUGCAGUUAGCUUUCCAGUUCCAUUAGUGACAGAGUACGACAGUGUGCCUUGAUCAGUUCAAAUCUAUCUCAUAUAAUGGAGAAGUGUUCAUUCAACAUUUGCGGAAUAUUUGCUCUCUGCCAGACAUUCUGCGAGGCACUGACGAAAUUGUGGUGAAUGUAAACAGAGAACGUGGCACCCACUGAAGCAGAGACUGUCAACAACUCUCCAAUGGGCCAGGCAUGAAAUCUAAUGAUGCAAUCCUUCUAGUCUAUUGCUACGGAUGAUAGGUCAUGCUGAACCUGGACCACUGGACUUGGAAGUAGAAACCAGAGUUAGGUUAUUGGAUCUCAUCAUCAUUUACUACCUGGAACAAUAUUGGAAAAGUCAGUUCAUCUCUUUGAGUCUGAUUUUCUUAUCCUUAAAUUAUAAUGCCAAUUCCAUGUUACCAUUAUGAAGAUAAAAUAAUACAACAUGGUUGAAAGUGUUUGAUUGAUAAACAGUAAAGUGCUAUGUAAAUUAUUACUUUUUAUAUUGACUUCUUCUAUUAUAUAACUUUGGAAACUAGGACUCUCAUGGAUAUUAUGCAAAGAGCUGAGAGAAAGCUAUGUUAACUUUAGGGAUCUUCAAUGCAUUAAAAACCCAGCGAAAAGCUUACAUUUUAAAAACUCAGUUAACAUGUUGAAGUACACUGGGUGGAAAUAAAUCAGCACAUGCCUUGAAUCUAUCUUUCUAUAAAGUUGACUAAAAUUUUUGAAAGGUUUUGAAAAAAUAUUUAAUAGAGUAUAAUCAUGUCUAAAGAAGAACUAUGGGAAAAGGGAAGGUAAUUGAAGUGACUACUUCUUAGAUAGAUAUAAAUGCUUGUGGUAGGCAGGAUUCUAACAUGGCCCCCAAGAGUCUUAGCCCCUAGUGUAUACACCCUAUAUAAUUCUCUCCCCUUGAAUGUAGGCAGAACCUGCAAAUAUGAUGGGAUAUCACUUGCAUAAUUAGGUCAUUAACUGA
rnacentral:lncRNA from 1 species